rnacentral:rRNA from 1 species
AACGAACGCUGGCGGCGUGCCUAACACAUGCAAGUCGCACGAGAAAUCUGGGGCAACCUGGAGAGUACAGUGGCGCACGGGUGAGUAACGCGUGGGUAACCUGCCCUUGAGUUGGGGAUAACCUCGCGAAAGCGGGGCUAAUACCGAAUGAUAUGCCACUCCCUCGGGGGUUGGCAUCAAAGGUGGCCUCUGCAUGCAAGCUUUUGCUCAAGGAGGAGCCCGCGUACCAUUAGCUUGUUGGUGAGGUAACGGCCCACCAAGGCUACGAUGGUUAGCUGGUCUGAGAGGAUGGUCAGCCACACUGGAACUGAGACACGGUCCAGACUCCUACGGGAGGCAG